rnacentral:lncRNA from 1 species
GGAUUAGAAGAGUUGUUGGAGGAGCUAGGCCUAGGGAUAUGGGAGGUGUGGGGUUGAAUAUCUAGGGCUGGGAGAAUCGGAAGGUAUUGGAGCUAUUUGGAGUGGCAGAGAUGGUGCAGGAGGAUGAUUUGGGGAGGAAGACGGAGAAACAGCAAGGAUUAUAUUUUCCUUUGAAGAGUUGCUGGGACCUUUCCUAGGAGAACCGGAGCCUUACCAUCAAACUUCGGAAACGGAAGCCAGAGAAAAAGGUAGAAUGGACAAGUGACACUGUGGACAAUGAACACAUGGGCCGCCGCUCAUCCAAAUGCUGCUGUAUUUAUGAGAAACCUCGGGCCUUUGGCGAGAGCUCCACGGAAAGUGAUGAGGAGGAAGAAGAGGGCUGUGGUCAUACACACUGUGUACGUGGCCACCGCAAAGGACGGCGUCGUGCAACCCUAGGACCGACCCCCACCACCCCUCCCCAGCCUCCUGACCCUUCCCAGCCCCCUCCAGGGCCAAUGCAGCACUAAAUCCCUCUCUCCUCCAGCAUUCCUGUGUCUGUCUGGCCCUAAAUGUAUCCAUGUGGCUACUUCUCCAGCCCCCUCCUUCCCUCUCUUCUGCCUGAUAGAGGGAAGAGGAAGAGGAGGACGAACAGAGAUCCUGAAAUUCUGACUUGCUGCUAUUCCAGAACCCAGCCUCCUGGGUUUCCCCAGUCCUCAUUUUUCCUCCCAAUACCCACCCUUCUCUCUCGAGGGAUCUAGGCACCUUGGUCCCAGUGUCUUCCUUUUGUUCUCACUGCCAAACUGCCUGUCCUGGGAUCUAGUUAUCUUGGCCCUGCACUCUCAACAUGAGUAGCGAACACUUAAAUUGGGUUUUCAACAGUCCCAGCUUUCACUGCCAGGGUCCCAGUCAGAUUCCAGGAAUUUGCGCCCUAACUUUGCUUGCUAAUCCUGGUUUAGAGCUAUCCCACUAAAAUAUUUAAUCCUAAUUCUUAGUCCUUGCCUGUGAGAUAUGAGGUCUUACAGGAGACCUCAGAGCUCCCAGCCCUUCUCCUCCUGCUAACCCUUCUCACACCCUCAAGAGGAGUUAGAAAAGAGGUCCUUGUCAUUCUCACCUCUUAUGGAAAAUGGAAUAAGAAAUAAUCAUAUCCUUUCUUCCCACCCUUCUCCUGUUAUUUAGGAUUUCUGACAAAGCUGGCUUGAGAUUGGUCACUUAGAGCCGACUGUCUCCUCUGCCUUUUGUUUUUCAGCUUCAGAGACAGAUCCAAUAUAGUCCCAGGGACCUGGGUCUCUGGGAGAGGAAGGAAGAGGGAGGGAGCAAAGAGAUUGGGGUAUGUCCCCUGUAGUACACUCUUACCUCUUACUUCCUAGACUUUGAUUUCUCCGGCAGCCCAGAUGUUCAGUUCUCUUGGCCCCUCUCUACCCCUUACUGGGAUCCGGUUUUCAUUUUCCGGUCCUUUUGCCAUACACAGUUACAGAGAUCAGUCAAAUCCAUACCACCACUGAGAUCUCAUUUAUUGCCACAGAUGCACAAAAUAAAUAACCCAAAAUCACAAAA